CACAGUUAAACAGUCUAUCCAGGCUAGUUUAUUACAUGCAUAUAAGACCACACUAGUGAGUGUGUGUAUAUUUAUGCAUGUAUAUAUGUGUUUUAACACAGAUUUAUAAAAUACAGCGUAAUAGUUGGUGCACCAUUGUCUGGGAAGGGAGUUACUCAAGUAGGUGUCCUCCAAGCCAUAAAGUUUUAUCUGUACUUGUUUAACCAGCUAAACCCAACUGUCUGAGACCUGCUGAUAAAAAAAAAAAAAAAUUACUGUUUUUGUUUUGUAACUGGGCCUGGUUUGUGCUUUAUUAUUUUAGGGGGCAAACAUGCCUCUGAUCACACGCCUUGUUCCCUUUCUGGCUGAUUUCCCUUGUCUGUGUGUUGCCUGAGGCUGUUCUACCUCAGGUGAACGUCAGACAUUUAGGUUGCCUUUGAAUUUCAGCGUUUCCAUGGAUCAGAUCACACAGUCCUCAUCAACUGUGACAUGGAAGGCAGUCACUUUCGAUCCCGAAUUAAGACAGCUUGCGUAUGCUUUGAGCGUUAAUUAUUUGAGUCAUGCUGAAGAUAUCGUUAAGAAGACCUAGCCUGAAGUUUGCUGCUCAUAUGUGGGCAAACGUUUGCAGAAUCAGACUCUAAUUUCACAAAUUAGUUUUGUGGCGAGACCUACAAGGCAGGCAGAGUUUUAUAGACUGAGGGGAAGGUGGAAAACAGAACAGGUUUUCGAGAAAACUGAAGAUUAAUAGAAACCAUAUGUAGGACUCCAAGUGAUUCAGUGGGGUCUAGACAGUUGCCCUUUCUUGCUGUUCGAAUGUCAUAUGCAACAACGACAGAAGCCAUAUGUGAGCCACAAAUAAACCCUUCCUAACUCAUGUCUUCUCUGUUUAAAGUUUAAUCAGUCUGGUUUAGCUGAAAGAAGAUGAAUGUUUAAGAGUGAAAAUGUCACACAAACAGCAUAUCACUGUGUUGUACCGUGAGGUGUUAUGGAACUGAAAUCAUACAGUGAGUAUUAUUCCUUAAUGAAAUUGAGUGACAACACUAACUCCAAAAUCUCUAGUUACAUUAUGAUGGAUAUAUCUCAGUCUUAAUUCUUUCAUAUCCUACCUUUCCCUGAGUUCUGAUUUUCUUUGCUUCAUACAUUCCCUGUUGUUUUUUUUGGUUGGGUUUUGUUUGUUUGUUUGUUUUUACUGGAUGUAUGUCCUCAUCUUUGUUUCUUUUUGUCAUUUUCCUGUCUGUUUUUCUACCAUGCUUUUCCUUAUAUACUUUUGUUAUUGCUUUUAGGCAACUGGGUGUCUUUCUCAAUGCUUUGCCUCCCUGCCUCCUUAUUACAUACGAAUCUCAACUUAAAAUUCAAAGGGAAAAAGAAAAAACUUUACUGUCUGCUUAAAAAACAAAAUAAUCAGGAACAGUUUCAAUUCAGGAAGAAGGACUUGUCAGGAACUUCAAUUACAAUUCCAAAAUUGAUUGCAACAUGGAGAAAAUGGUUUUGCUAUGUAAUUUUUCUUUUAAUAGGUUGUUCUUCUAGGUAACAUUUGAAAAAGACUAGCUGUAGGCUUGAAAAUCUAAUGUAAAGAAUUGAAAAAAUAAGAAAACAUCAAUAAACAAUUAUUUAAAAGGGAGGGCCAUAGAAGAAAGAACAGAAAAAGUACUAAUUCACCUAUGAAUUGUAUCUAGUACUGAGUUCCCAGUUUUUAUAUGGUCUAUUUUGUCUUUCAGUUUCUCAUGAUCACAAAAUCUGGUUCCCAGCUGCCUGCCUCCCAUGCAGGACCGCAAAUACUUAUUUUAUCUUCAACUGCUGCUUUCACAGAAACUUUCUGGCAUGGGUUGUGUAUUUUCCUGUUAGCAUCAUGCAGUAUCCUUGCAUCUUCAUCAAAUGAGAAACUGCAUUAUGGAGUGUUGGAUGCCAUCAGGAGAAAACUGUCUCCUUAAUUAGCAUCAGUUUUUGUCUAUCUCACCGGGACUAACAGUUUGUCAGUUGUGGGAUGUCCCAUCACCAGUGCUUGACCCAUUUCUGCUGCCUGUGGUGCAGUUCUCCUCAGCCUGUCAGCUAAAGACACAAAAGACUUUAGCUUGAAACAAGUCUUGCAUACCUGUCCUCCUCUGUUGUCAAAUUAACUUUGGGUCAGUCAUAUCGAUGCCCUUGCUAGGACAGAGCUCCUUGGCUGGGAGAUCAGCAGAAGUACCGUGGAUGGUCUCUUUGGCUUCUCUGGUUUGGCUGAAAAUGGAACACCACCACUUCCCCUCCCUCGUCACGGUGCCAACUGCAGCAUUUCCAAGGGCUCCUGGUGUUUCUGAGGGCUCAUCAUGGCGAACCCGGGGCAACAUGGGAGUUGAAGACAGAUUACCUUUACUGCAUGAAUCCCUAUUGUGGUGCUGCAUUAAGGCCACAACAGGCAGGAGUGAGAACUGAGAACAGGAACAAGAUUGUCCAAC